CACCUAUGAUAAAAAGAACGUCAGACAAACCAAGGGAUGAACAUGAACAAUAAGAAGAUAGUGGUGGUUAAGCCGGACAAAAUUUCCUGUUGCCAUGGAAUGAAACUUACUGAAAUGGGGGACAGAUAGCUUUUGAGAAUCUCUCUCAGAAAGACUAAGAUGGAAAUAAGUGAACUGAUUGCUAUUGAGACAAGACCCUGAGGAAAGACAUUCACCAUCAACACCAGUGGGAAGCAACACGUCAAACGAUGGAAGCUGAACGCUGCUAAUCAUAUUAGCAAAUGAUGAUUGUCAUGUCCCUCAUAGAUGGAGAUCCACCCAGACAUUAAGUCUUAUGCAGAAAUACCACUUCCUCUAAGAGAGCCUCUCUUCAGAUACAAAUUGAAUUUCCCUGUGCUGAAGGCCUAUUGUGAAUCUUUAGCUGUUCCCAUAUCCUUCUCUGCUUCUUGUUUUAUGUCACAGCAUUCCCUUGAUGUCUGAUCUAAUCUACCAGAUGGAAAGUUCCCUGGGGAAGAUCCAGGCCCUCUACCCAUAACCUUCACUGGCUGGAUUCAAGUAUACAGGCAACAACCCUAUGGAGAUAAAACCCUAUAAAGUAUUAUACUUUCUCAUUUA